UACGGAGGGGGCGAGCGUUAUUCGGAAUUAUUGGGCGUAAAGGGCGCGUAGGCGGCCCGGUAAGUCAAAGGUGAAAUCCCUCGGCUCAACUGAGGAACUGCCUUUGAAACUGUCGGGCUUGAGGCCGGGAGAGGGUAGUGGAAUUCCCAGUGUAGCGGUGAAAUGCGUAGAUAUUGGGAGGAACACCAGUGGCGGAGGCGGCUACCUGGACCGGUUCUGACGCUGAGGCGGCGAAAAGCGUGGGUAGCAAACAGG
rnacentral:rRNA from 1 species